rnacentral:rRNA from 1 species
UACGAAGGGUGCAAGCGUUAUUCGGAUUCACUGGGCGUAAAGGGUGCGCAGGCGGUUGGGUGUGUCAGAUGUGAAAUCCCGAGGCUCAACCUCGGAACUGCGUCUGAAACUACUCGACUAGAGUACUGGAGAGGGUAACGGAAUUCACGGUGUAGCAGUGAAAUGCGUAGAUAUCGUGAGGAACACCAGAGGCGAAGGCGGUUACCUGGACAGUUACUGACGCUCAGGCACGAAAGCAUGGGGAGCAAAAGGG